GAUGAAGAACGCAGCGAAAUGCGAUACGUAAUGUGAAUUGCAGAAUUCAGUGAAUCAUCGAAUCUUUGAACGCAUAUUGCGCUCUCUGGUAUUCCGGAGAGCAUGCUUGUUUGAGUAUCAGUAAACACCUCAACUUCCAUAUCUUUUUUGAAAUGGGAGUUGGACUUGAGUGAUCCCAACGCUUUUCCUCACCGAAAAGUGGCGGGUUACUUGAAAUGCAGGUGCAGCUGGACUUUUCUCUGAGCUAUAAGCAUAUCUAUUUAGUCUGCCUAAAAACAGAUUAUUACCUUUGCUGCAGCUAACAUAAAGGAGAUUAGUUCUUGUGCUGACUGAUGCAGGAUUCACAAAGACAGGCUUCGGCCGACUUUGUAAACUCGAUCUCAAAUCAAGUAAGACUACCCGCUGAACUUAAGCAUAUCAUAGCGGAGGA
rnacentral:misc_RNA from 1 species